rnacentral:rRNA from 1 species
CAACUUUGUACGGUGG